GCCAGAGCGAGAGGACGGGAGCGAGCGAGAGUUGAGCGUCGAGCUCUCUCGCUCUCUCCUGUUUGGGGGCACGUUAUAAAAUUGCCAAGUAGGCAAAGGGAGCGAGGGAGAAGGGCAAGGUAGGCAGCGGCAGCGGCAGAGGGAAAAGGAGCUCAAAGGAAAAAGGAGAACUGCAGCGGUAAUAAUCGUGCCAAAGCGAAAUAACGGGAAAUACACACACACACUUUCAAGAACACAGACAGUUUAUUAGAUGUGAUUAAACAUGACUGGACACAUCCAACAAGGGAAUAUAACAUUCAAAUGUCCACUUAUGAAGAAGUACAUAAAAUAUUACUUAAAACUAACUGUUCUCCGCGGCAAAGAGCAAUUGAGAUACACAAAUGUCUACGUGACUAGAGGCUCCCCUUUUCACGUCCCUUUGUGUUUUCCAGUUUCCAUUUUUUUUUUACUUUUCGCCAGAUUCAGGCAAAAAAACAGACGUGGGGAAAUGAGACAGAGCAAUCACCCCCAGGCUAUGCGAAACCAGCCAUUUACCGUUAGGCGGAGGGAUCAGUUUUUCGAGAUUCAGCUAUACAGACACACUCAAACACAUGGCCCAUAUGGAAGAAAGGUGCAAGGCAUGCGCACAAAAUACACAUAAAGAAAAACUAUUAAGGAUAAUGAUGAUCAUUUCAAUUUGAUUAGCCAACGAUUUCGUGUCAUAAAUUUACAUUGCCUGUUAAACAAUCAUCAGAAUACAUUAACUGAAGCUUUCAUUUUGUAGGAACUCAUUUGUGUGCAGUGAAUGUACAUAUAUGUAAGUGAAAAUAUCAUUUGACCUGCUUUUUCUCAGCAUGAAUCAUAGCAGAGAAACGGUGAAAAACGACACCCAGCCAUACCCCAAUGAUGAUGCAUUCGAGGGGUUUUCCACAGGCACAAACACCAGUACGCAAAGAAAUACAUAAGUCGGACACAAACACAAAGAGAAGUAGGUAAAAACUGCAGGGAGGCGAAAAAGGAUCUCUCUCGCUCUCCCGCUUCCUCUCCCUUUUUGGAAACGAAUGACGCGCGCUCUUUGCACAUUGCAAGGUUUUAUUUUUGCGCAGAUGGUGGAGGAUUAUGAAUUGGGAUCCUGUGACCAAACAGAGCGAGAGCGAGCUAUGUAGCCAGUGAGUUUGUGUGCGUGUGCGGAAAAGUACAGUUGGGCCAAAAGGCACCUCACACUUCUUUGGGGUUCGGUUUUCCCACGAGAGAACCCACAACUGAUGUACUAAAUGGGGGAUGGAGUAAUGAGGACUUGGUGAUUGGAGACAAAGACAAGAAAGAGACUGUGCUGAGGUCUACUAUCAAACGAUGUCCAAAACUGUGUUUUGCGGAGCAUUGUUAGCGAAAAUCUCAACUGGGUUUUCAUCUGGCAACUGCAUUUGAAAAUGUCUGGCAAAAAUAAGUCCAAGACACUGUGUAAACUGCUGUUGCAAAUCGGUAAUGUGUUGCAGGAGAACUUAAGAUCAUGGUUUACAAUGCUUAAAAAUAUUCUUAAAUAAAGUUGAUUCUGAAAACCAUAAUGCUGUGUUAAGAUCUACUAUCAAACUACGUUCAAAUUUAUAUUUACGAAACGUUGUUAGCGAAAAACUCAACUGGAUUUUGGUUUAGCAACCGCCAGAUUGUUUGGAGAAUAUGUAAUGCAUUUCCACACUUUUUAUGGGCGAGUUGCUGACAUACAUAUAAUAGUUUGAAUCCCUUACAUAGGACAUGUACAAUCUUGUGAUGAGAUCUACUAUCAAACUACGUUCAAAAUGUUAAUUUAAGAAACGUUGUUAGCGAAAAACUCAUCUAAAUUUUGUUUUAGCAACUGCUGGAUCGCAAGAAAAAUGAAUAGUUCAUUUCACACUUUUUAUAAGCUAGUUGCUUUGAAUGACACAAUCUAUGCUUAAUAUUUCCUUGUGCUGAGAUCUACUAUCAAACUACGUUCAAAAUUUUCAUUUACGAAACGUUGUUAGCGAAAAACUCAACUUUUGUUUUAAUCUCGCAACCGCUGUAGUACGAAAAACUGAUGGUAUAUUUUCCGCAAUUUGAUUGGGUUGCUCUUACUAUCGGCGAUCAAUGAUCAAUGUCAGAUGUCAGAUUAUUGUAGUUUUUAGCAUGGAGCGUGAGUGGUUAAAAAAGCGUAUGUAGAUCGGUUUACGAUGAAUAAAGAUAGGAAUUGGAAUUGGAAUUGCUACCAUUUCCAUCCUUUUGUCAUAAACUUGUGUUAGAAUUCAGCCAUUGGGCUUGGCCCAGCUAGGCUUAAUUAAUACUGUCUUCAAUGCCGACAAACUUUUCGAGUGCCAGAUGGAAAUGAAAAUGGGAUGCGGCGAUGUCGGUGGGAGGGGGGUAGCGGGAUAAUAACAAUAUAAAGGAUGUCGGGCGAUGUCGGUCCCCUUUUUCUAAGCACGCGCCAGACGGCAAAAGGUGAGCCCCGGGAGAACCGAAGCGGACCGGUUUGCUUUGCGGGAAGGUAGGAGGAUGAGGGAGAGGGUCCUGUAGGCCGGCCGGUCCGGGUUUUUUGGGGUUGCAAUCAACCCCUAAACUAAGCCGAUCCCCCCUCUCCACUCUGUGUGCGAUAUGCGCUUGUGUUUGCAGCAGUCUCCCUCCAUUUUGUCGUCCUGCCGGCAGAUGUUGGAUCACAACUGUCGUCCCCCGUCCCUUUAUUCGUUUGGGCUCAGCACAGGAAGUGCCGCCAAAGUCUGGAGCCCUCUGCUUCAGAGUAAUGAAAAUUCUUGGCCAGCGACAGGGAGAUGGAGAGAGCUCUGAACUUGGGAAGAAUCAUAAUGGGGCUGCUUUCAAGACAUUUGUUCUGAGUAGUACAGCAGUACAUGUAUGCGUGUGUGUAUGUGUCUGUCUGUUCUGCUGUGCAAAAGUCAAAAGAAAAACCGGUUCGGCAGAAUGUACAAGAACUGUGCCAUUUCGAAAAACAAAACGGAGGAGCGGGUGGUCGCCCCGUUCUCGGCUGGCAGGCUGGCAAGUCGAGUUUUGUGUGUUGGUUUAGAGAUCCGAGAUCCGAUACAAUCGUCGAUUGGCAGAAAAACCAGUUUAAAACUCAUUUUAUUUCAUUUCACAUCGCUGCCAGAAAAAUUGCCAACUCACACACCACACACACACUGGGCCGCCAGAAAAACAAAUUUAAAAUGGAAAUAACUUGAGAAUAAGGAGGAGGGGGAGAAAAAGUAAGAGAGAGAGAGAGAGAGAGAGAGAGAGAGAGAGCGAUGGCGACGGGAAAAAGAGUGUAUGUGGAGGCCAAGAACAAAUAUAAAACUUCCCCCACAAGAUUUGCAUAAAGUGGAAUCUUUUUCUGCUCGAACGCAUACACACACGCACAUGUGUGCGUUUGUGAGACAUCAAAUUUCGUAUAUUUACGACGUAAAAAUAAACUCGACGACGACUCGGCGUCUCUCGCUCUGACUUUCAAUAAUUUAAUUUCUGGCAGCUGAAAAUGUUGCUGAAUAGCAACGCAGAAACAUCAACCAACACACACUCAACAUUGAAACUCUGGCGGUUCGAAGCCCAAAAAACGCAAAACUGGGGGGAAAACACCUCUGAAAACCCCACGUAGGCCGACGCUCGUCCGUCCGUCGUUCAUUUUAUUUUUAUAUAUUUUUAACCCUUUCUGCCCGUUGCCUUUCCGUUUUCCUCGCUCUCCACAUGUAUCAGAAAACAGGCUGCAAGCGAAGAUUGAGAAAACAUCGGAUCGUGCGGAUAACCACCAAAAAUAGCAAUAGUUAUUAUAAUUUCCUAGAAAGAAGCUGCGUUUUUCCGAGCUGAUGAAAUGCCAAGGAAUCGAACCAUGUCUGCUUCUUAAAUAAUUUCAUUUGUAUUACUAUUAGAUGCUGUGAUCAAGGGUUAUCCAUACUUAAAAACGACGAAUUGCAUCUGAGAGUUUAAAUGUGUUGAAAGAGCGUUUUCCAUUUCCACGCUUUUUUUUUAACCGCUUCGCUGGGUUCUGUUCUGUUCAGCCGCAGAAUAUGUCGUUUUGCCAUUAAAGCAGCGGAUAAAAACAACGAAAGCAAAAACGUCAACCACAAAACUUGUUUUCUCGAAAAGCUAUUUAAAGUGAAUGUUAAGGGCUUGUUAUGCGCAAAUGUAUCUGUAAAUGUAUCUGCGAGAUUGUACAUUCGUGUGGGAGCGGAGGAAGUCGGUGCUUUGGGUUUUGGUGAGGCUAUCUAUAUCUAUCAUGGGCAACAAUGUAGAUCUGCUCCGCUGUUGAUGUCGUUUAUGCUUUUUUUUUCUAGAUUUUUGGGCACGCUGCUUUUGUUGGUUUUUAUGUGGGUUUGGUUGAAGGGCAUUACAACGACUGACAGUUAUAGAAGUAAACGAUGAAAAACAGAUUGAUUGUUCAACAGUGCCGUAUAACUAGAAAGGGGAUCUUUUAAAAGACUGCUUACUGAAUAGUUAUGUUACAAACUUAAUACAUUAAUUUAUUCAGCUUCAAUAAACCUAAGACACUAAACUAUCACAAGUAAAUCCAACUAUAUAUUAUAUGAAAUCUAGUUUGUAAAAUCACAAAUUAAGUGAUUUAAUUUCUUGUUAUAAACGGCUUGAUUCCAUACUUAGAAGUAUUAAAAAUGAAACCGACUAUAUGAAAAACUUCCUCUAAAAAUGCCAUAUUAGUUUUACAAUUAGGUUUACCCACCCAAAACUUGUUAAAUUCACAGACCAAUUCAAGUGAAAGUGAAAAAAGUGAGCCACCGAAAAUAAUCAACAAUAAACCGCGAAAUAACGCAUAAAAGUUCAAUGAACUUUUUUGUUAAUAGCCACAAAGCGAAUAAGUAAUCAAAACUAACAAAAAUAAAAGUCGGCCAAAGAGCAGGCUGCGAAAACGGCCGCUCAUUAUUUCCCUGUCUUCUUUUUAUUUAUUUAUUUUUUUCUAUAUUUUUUCUGUUUAUUGUAGGACAAGAACAUUAAAAAAGUGCGACACAUAUUUUAUUUUUUUGCACGUGCGUGUGUAGGUCAGUGCGUGUUCGCUGCAAGGUCACGGUGUUUUAGAACGGAAAAAAUUGAUGACUUGGAAGAAAUGUACAAGUUUAUUGUAAACAAAGAAUUAAGGCAAGAAACCAAAGAGAAAAAUACAGUUUCUGCUUUUCUACACUUGUUGCCCAAAAGCUUUUUUAUAUCUCAUUUAUUAUUGUUAUUAUUCUGCACAUGUGCGUAGAAUGUAAACAAAUGAAACUUUUGCAAAUGUCGCAAGUGAAAUUUGGCAACGCCGCCGCAGUCCUAUAAAAAAAAGAUUAGGCGACACGAAAAUAUGAAAGAUGAAAAUGUGUAAACGUGUCGAAAAGAAAACAACAAAAGCGGCGUAGCAGAAGUGUAGCACAAAGUGGAAACAAAAAUAUGUGGCGACUGCUCUCUCUUCCCUUCCCACUCACCCACCGACAUCUCUUUUUGAGCCGUCUGGCUCUCCCAAUUUUCUAAGUGUGUGUGAAAAGUGCAGAGAGAAAAUUUCACGCUGGUUGUUUUUGUUUUUCGAGAACAAACAUAAAAACGGACGAGGGAGUAUAACAAAAUGAGCGGGAGAAAGAAAAGUGGACCCAAAAGAGCGAGAGAGCCUAGCAUUGAACAAAAUAUUUUAUGUGUGGGGGAAAAACCAAGAUGGCGGCCACCAAGACUUUGGGAAUCUAUCGAAAUGAAAAACGUGCUUUUUUCUAGGAGUUUAGAAUAGAAAGCAAUUAACUUAACUCGCUCUUGGCAAUCUUUCUAUUCACUAAUCACAAGUUUUAA